rnacentral:rRNA from 1 species
GACGAACGCUGGCGGCGUGCUUAACACAUGCAAGUCGAACGGAAAGGCCCUGCUUUUGUGGGGUGCUCGAUUGGCGAACGGGUGAGUAACACGUGAGUAACCUGCCCUUGACUUUGGGAUAACUUCAGGAAACUGGGGCUAAUACCGGAUAGGAGCUCCUGCUGCAUGGUGGGGGUUGGAAAGUUUCGGCGGUGGGGGAUGGACUCGCGGCUUAUCAGCUUGUUGGUGGGGUAGUGGCUUACCAAGGCUUUGACGGGUAGCCGGCCUGAGAGGGUGACCGGCCACAUUGGGACUGAGAUACGGACCAGACUCCUACGGGAGGCAGCAGUGGGGAAUAUUGCACAAUGGGCGGAAGCCUGAUGCAGCAACGCCGCGUGCGGGAUGACGGCCUUCGGGUUGUAAACCGCUUUCGCCUGUGACGAAGCGUGAGUGACGGUAAUGGGUAAAGAAGCACCGGCUAACUACGUG